GCCCUGCGGCCCGCUGCCGCCUCUCCCGUGCCGCGCCGCCCCGCCGGGAGGGCGAGGGGCGGCGGAGGCCGCGCGCGGCGGCGGCACUCACAGGUCCAGGAGGAGCCGGACCUCGCCGCCGGCGCCGUCCCAACCGCCGCUGAGGCGGCUCAUGGCGGCCAAGCGCGGCGCCGCCGCCGCUGCUGCUGCGGCCCGGGCGCGGCGGGAGGCAGCGCCGAAAUGGCGGCGGCGCCUCCUCGAGCCGGAGGCAUCACGGGAGCCGUAGGCGCGGCGCCAUCGCGGGAGCCUGGCGGGCGCCGGGCGGGGAGCGGUUGAGGCACCUCCUAGAUACCACGAGAAGAUGCACCAGUAAAACCUCAGACUCUAACUGGCAAUUCUGGAAGAGCUUGAAAACACAGAAUCACAGGAAGCUGAAAGUUGAAGAAAACUCUGGGGACCUUCUAGUCCAAUCCUCCUGCUCAAAGCAGGGUCAACUGGAGCAGUCAAAACCUGACUGGACGUGGUCCUGGAUAAUCUAUCUCCCGGAAUGGAAACUCCACCAUCUCUUUGGUCACCUGUUACAGUAUUCCGCCAUCCUCACAGAGGAAAAAUAGAAAGGUUGAAAUACAAAAAAUUCCAUUAAAAAUGCAAGUUGUG